AGCUCCAAUAGCGUAUAUUAAAGUUGUUGUGGUUAAAAAGCUCGUAGUUGGAUUUCGGCGGGUAGUGGUUGGUUUGAAUUGAUUCAACACUGACUUUUUUACCCGUGUGUUUUGCCAGAAUCUUACGGGUGAUCUUUACCGAUUGUCCGUUGGAACUGGCAGGUUUACUUUGAAAAAAUUAGAGUGCUCAAAGCAAGCUUACUGCUUGAAUAGUUGCGCAUGGAAUAAUAUAUUUUGUUGGUUUUCGGAAAUCGACUUAAUGAUUAAUAGGGAUAGUCGGGGGCAUUCGUAUUCAAACGACAGAGGUGAAAUUCUUGGACCGUUUGAAGACGAACUAAGGCGAAAGCAUUUGCCAAGAAUGUUUUCA
rnacentral:rRNA from 1 species